rnacentral:misc_RNA from 1 species
GCUUCGCUGGUCACCUCCACCGAGCAUAUUUGCAUGGAUCAGUAAUCGUACUACAUUAUUUAAAAAUAAAAAGAAUUGCUAACCAAAAAUAGUAAUGAAUCCUAAACAUAAAUGAAUCAUGAACACGCGCGCUUAGGUUUUUUUAAUCUUUAAAGCAACAAUAAUGAUUAAAAAAAACAGUGAAUCACAAUGAGUCGCGUUAUCGUUUGAUGACGAAGAACUACUACAAUUUUAAUAGCCUAAUAAAAAUUUUCAAAAUACCAAAAAAGACUUCGGAUUUCGACAACACCACAAGUAGUAGAUUACAG